UAUCCGCCCGGGAACUACGAGCAUUAGCUUGAAACCCAAAGGACUUGGCGGUGCUUUAGAUCCACCUAGAGGAGCCUGUUCUAGAACCGAUAAUCCCCGUUAAACCUCACCUUUCCUUGUCUUAUUCCGCCUAUAUACCGCCGUCGUCAGCUUACUCUGUGAAGACAAUACAGUGAGCUCAACCGGUACCACCCCAAACGCCAGGUCGAGGUGUAGCGAAUGGAAAGGGAAGAAAUGGGCUACAUUCAGUAACUAAUACUGAAUUACGAAUGAUAUUUUGAAACAAAUAUCUGAAGGAGGAUUUAGUAGUAAGCAGGGAAUAGAGAGCCCUGCUGAAGCUGGCCCUGAAGCGCGUACACACCGCCCGUCACUCUCCCCGAGCUAAGUAUCAACCCAUAUCUAAUAAGUUAAAUCUGUAAAGGGGAGGCAAGUCGUAACAUGGUAAGUGUACCGGAAGGUGCGCUUGGAAAAACUCAGGGCAUAGCUAAACACAGAUAAAGCGUCUCCCUUACACUGAGAAGGUAUCCGUGCAAACCGGAUUGCUCUGAAACCCAAUAGCUAGCCCGCCCCCUAAAAUAAAACUAAUAACCAUAUAUAACCCCACACGCACUAAGCAAAAUACAACAAACCAUUUUUCCCUCUUAGUAUAGGAGAUAGAAAAGAAACCCGGAGCAAUAAAGAUAAGUACCGCAAGGGAAAGCUGAAAGAGAAAUG
rnacentral:rRNA from 1 species